rnacentral:rRNA from 1 species
GAUGAACGCUAGCGGCAGGCCUAAUACAUGCAAGUCGAACGGUGUCUUCGGACAUAGUGGCGCACGGGUGCGUAACACGUAUGCAACCUACCUUACAUUGGGGGAUAGCCUUUCGAAAGGGAGAUUAAUACCGCAUAAGACAGUAGCUGGGCAUCCAGCAGCUGUUAAAGAUUUAUCGAUGUAAGCUGGGCAUGCGUCCAAUUAGCUGGUUGGUGAGGUAACGGCUCACCAAGGCAAUGAUUGGUAGGGGAACUGAGAGGUCAAUUCCCCACCCUGGCACUAAGAAACGGGCCAGACUCCUACGGGAGGCAGCAGUAGGGAAUAUUGGGCAAUGGACGCAAGUCUGACCCAGCCAUGCCGCGUGCAGGAUGAAGGCGUUAUGCGUUGUAAACUGCUUUUAUACAGGAAGAAACGACUCUUGCGAGAGGCAUUGACGGUACUGUAUGAAUAAGCACCGGCUAACUCCGUGCCAGCCGCCGCAGUAAAAC